rnacentral:lncRNA from 1 species
AAGAACAGAGCAGGCUGAGGUUUCCUAUAGUGGCUGCUUUACCACCCACAUCUGGAGCUCCGCCCUCUCCAGGGCCUUGCCCACACUUGGAAUUGAGAGACUUCCCUUGUAGUUACUCAUUGUCUAUCCACUGGCACAAAGUAGAAAACCGGCAUUUCUCUAAUGUCUAAUGAAUCAUGAUGAGCAUCUUUUCAAGAGCUGAUUUGCUAUUCAUUACCCUCUUGGGUGAAAUGUUUGCAAAACUUUAGGCUGAGAGAGGAGGAUUGCAAGUUCCAGGCCUCAGCAUCUUAGUGAGGCCUAUCUCAAAAUAAAAAAUAAAAAGUGCUGGGGAUGUGUCUCAGUUGUAAAGUGCCCCUGAGUUAAAUCUCCAGUACAAAAAAAAAAAAAAAGAGAGAUUCAAUUUUUGUUAAGAUACUUUGGCUUUCUAGGUCUUUUGAAUUUUCUUUCUUAAAAAAAAAAAAAAAAAACUCUUUUUAAAAAAUAUUUAUUUUUUAGGUGUAUAUGGACAUAACACAAUGCCUUUAUUUUUAUGUGGUGCUGAGGAUCUAACCUGCUAGGCUAGGCAAGCACCAAUUAGGAUUAUUUUGAACCUACAGAUAAAUCUGAAAGCAGUUUACAUUUUAACAAUAUUAAUUUUUCCAAUUCUUAAAAAUGUCUUAUUGCUCCAUUAUUUAGGUCAUUGUUUAGGUUAUUUGAUUUUUGUCAGUAAUGUUUGGUAAGGUUUUGGGGAUAUAAUUGCUGCAUAUCUUUACCAGCAUCAUCCCUAAGAGUUUUAUUAGCAUUGUAAGGGGUGUUUUUAUUUAUUAUAGUGCUGGGGUGGAACCCAGGGCCUCACACCUGGUAUGUGAGCACUCUACCAUUAAGCUACACCCCAGCCUGUAAUUGCUAUUUUAAAAUUUUAAUUUCUAAUUGUUCAUAACUAGUAUAUAGAACAAUAUAUAUAUAUAUAUAUAUAUAUAUAUAUAUAUAUAUAUAUAUAUUUUUUAAAGAGAGUGAGAGAGAGAAUUUUUAAUAUUUAUUUUUUAGUUUUUGGUGGACACAACAUCUUUGUAUGUGGUGCUGAGGAUUGAACCCUGGCCGCAUGCAUGCCAGGUGAGCAGGCUACCACUGAGCCACACAUCUCCAGCCCAAAAAUUUUAUAUAUUUUUUACUUUGACCUAGCAACCUACAACAUUGUUAAACUCACUUUUCUAUCAAGUUUGUUUGUUUGUUUGUUUGUUUUUAAUUCUGUCCAGUUUUCUGCAUCAAGAAUCACAUCUGUGAAUAAAAAAAAAAACAGUUUUGGUUCAUUUCCAAGCUGUAGACCAUGGAUCAAGACGAUGUUGUAUAAAAAGUACUUAAAUUAGGUAUCCUUGACUUUUUCCUGAUUUUAGGGAGAAAGUACUUAGGUUGAUUUGUACCAGUAUACACAUGUCAGCUAUAGAUUUUUUUAGACAUACUUUUUAUUUUAUUUUUUAUUUUUUUUAAAGAGAGAGUGAGAGAGACAGAGAGAGAGAAUUUUUUUUUAAUAUUUAUUUUUUAGUUUUCGGCGGACACAACAUCUUUGUUUGUAUGUGGUGCUGAGGAUCGAACCCGGGUCGCACGCAUGCCAGGUGAGCGCGCUACCGCUUAAGCCAUAUCCCCAGCCCUACUUUUUAUUUUUUGGAAGUUUUUUUUCUGUUACAUUUUUAUUUGUGAUGAUUUCAUUUUGAGAAGUGAGAGAAAAGAAAAAUGUCAGCUUAUGCAGGUAUAAUUUCUUUCUUUAUUUUUAUUUAUAUAUGACGGUGGAAUGCAUUACAAUUCUUAUUCACAUAUAGAACACAAUUUUUCACGUCUCUGGUUGUAUAUAAAGUAUAUUCACAUCAAUUCCCAUCUUCAUGCACCUACUUUGGAUAAUAAUGACCAUCACAUUCCACCAUCAUUUCUAACCCCAUGCCCCCUCCCUUCCUCUACGUUUUUUUUCAAAUACCUUUAUUUUACUACUUAUUUUUAUGCGGUGCUGAGGAUCAAACCCUGGGCCUCACGUGCUAGGCAAGCACUCUACAACCCCAGCCCAACAUCGGAUUUUAAA